rfam:Stegodyphus mimosarum contig128435, whole genome shotgun sequence.
GGUUUCGUGGUGUAGUGGUCAGCAUGCUCGACGCGUAACCGAGAGGUCCGUGGUUCGAUUCCCGGCGUGGGCA